AGAGAGAGGAGAGGGAAGAGACCGAGCAAGGGAGAGGGAAGGAGGAGAGGAGAUAAAUGGUUGAAGGCAGACGACCAAUGGGCCUGGAGAUUAAUGGAAAAAAAGGAAUGAGGGCAGCACCAAUGAGGCAAAGCGAAGGGGCGAGAAAGAGAUGGAGGGAGGAGAGGCAGGGAAGGAAACGAUGGUGAGAGAGUGCACAGCCGAGAGGAGAGACAGCGGAAGAAAGAGUGGAGUGGCAGACAGAGAGAGAGAGAGGGGAGAAGAGAAGCAAAGGACAUGCAUGGCAGGGGCUAGCUACCCCACUGUGACGGAGGGACUGCAGCAAAGGAGAGAACAGAAGAGAAGGGAGAGAAGGAGAAGUGUGUGGCUUACCGUAGUGUUACUGGCAUCCUCAGACAGCCACGCAGACAGACUCCUCACCCUGUGAGACGCACACGGCACAGCACACCGUACCGAGAUUGAUGAAUACCAAAAACAUCAAAGAAGAACGCCAAGCCGCCUGGUACCCUAAAGCAAGUGUGCGUCUAGGACCUGAGCACUAGGACCAUGCCUCAGGACUACCUGGCAUGAUGACUCCUUGCUGUCCCCAGUCCACCUGGCCGUGCUGCUGCUCCAGUUUCAACUGUUCUGCCUGCGGCUAUGGAACCCUGACCUGUUCACCGGACAUGCUACCUGUCCCAGACCUGCUGUUUUCAACUCUCUAGAGACAGCAGGAGCGGUAGAGAUACUCUUAAUGAUUGGCUAUGAAAAGCCAACUGACAUUUACUCCUGAGGUGCUGACCUGCUGCACCCUCGACAACUACUGUGAUUAUUAUUAUUUGACCAUGCUGGUCAUUUAUGAACAUUUGAACAUCUUGGCCAUGUUCUGUUAUAAUCUCCACCCGGCACAGUCAGAAGAGGACUGGCCACCCCUCAUAGCCUGGUUCCUCUCUAGGUUUCUUCCUAGGUUUUGGCCUUUCUAGGGAGUUUUUCCUAGCACAGUGCUUAUUCACCUGCAUUGCUUGCUGUUUGGGGUUUUAGGCUGUGUUUCUGUUCAGCAUUUUGAGAUAUCAGCUGAUGUAAGAAGGGCUAUAUAAAUACAUUUGAUUUGAUUUGAUUACUGUAUUUCAACCAGAGUGCUGUCAACUUUGUUCCUAGGGCAACUCUGCCCUGGGGAUAGACAGAAGGAAUAUGUUUGGCUUGCUCAAAGGUCAAUUGUUGGAUUUGCCAGAUUCAGUUAUCGCAUUCGCAGCACUAUUGCUUGCUACUACGAACCUAACAACGGUUAGGGAGGAAGAGGACGGAGUUUUAGUUUCCUGGGGUUUUGAACGGUGUGGUGUGCUCAAUGGCUCCCCAGCUUAGCGCUGAGGGGACACUGUCAUUAAGGCAUGGAUUCAGGUCUGUUCCUAAGAUUGGAGUUAAG
ensembl:lncRNA